AGUAAUACAUCGGAACGUGUCUUCUAGUGGGGGAUAACUGCCCGAAAGGGCAGCUAAUACCGCAUGAGACCUGAGGGUGAAAGCGGGGGAUCGCAAGACCUCGCGCUGGAAGAGCGGCCGAUGUCCGAUUAGCUAGUUGGUGAGGUAGAGGCUCACCAAGGCGACGAUCGGUAGCUGGUCUGAGAGGACGACCAGCCACACUGGGACUGAGACACGGCCCAG
rnacentral:rRNA from 1 species